CAACUCCGUCUUCUUCUUUUUCUCCUCCUCCUCUCUCUCCCCAACCAUAUUAUACGGUUAAUUAACGUAACUUCGCCGGAAAAUUAACGGCGGCUAUCGUCCGGUGGCGACUUUGAGGAUCACUGCUAACGUGUCGGUUUGAUUAUUUAAUUAUUACUGGUUAGUUUUGAUUUCUCGCAUUUGAAUUUGUUCUGCGAAUAUUAUAUACACGUGAUAUAUAUGUAUUUGAAAUUCGUACGCGAUUAAGUAUCUUGGCCGGGAAAUUAACGGCGGCUAUCGUCAGGCGGCGACUUUGAUGAUCGCUGCUAACGUGGCGGUUUGAUUAUUUAAUUAUUACUGGUUAGUUUUGAUUUUUUGCAUUUGAAUUUGUUCUGCGAAUUGUAUAUACACGUGAUAUAUAUGUGUUUGAAAUUCGUACGCGAUUACGUAUUUUCGCCAGCAAAUUAACAGCGGCUGUCGUCCGGCGACAUCGAUUAACAGUGCUUUACGUGUCGGUUUGAUUAAUUAAUAACUUGUUAAGGUUUGAAUUUGCUCUGCGAAUAAUACAUUUUUGCGUCUAUUUGUUCAUCGUUGAUUAUGUAAACCAGUAUCUUUUAGAAAUUAAAAAAUAUUUUUUACAAAAAAAUGAAAAUUUUAAAUUAAAUUUCGGAUUUUUUCUGGAUUUUAAAUAUUUUUUCUGUCUCUAUAUUGCUAGGGUUAUGAUCAUGUACUAAAAAACGAAACUUUCAGUUGGAUUUGAACAAUUUUUAUCUUUGUUUGCCGUGUUUUUCGAAUUUCAUGCGGUGUGAUUUCAUAUUCUAAAAAGGAAUCUUGUUUGUCAUAUUUUUGACAAUUUUAUUAAGAUUUUUAAUUUUAUAGGGAAAAUUAGACAUUUUUGUUUAAAUUUGGGAUUUUUUUUUCCUGUUUAGCUUCCUUUUUGUCUCUAUUUUGCUAGGGUUCUGAUCAAGAUUUCUCUUUAGCUUCCUUUUGUUCAAUAUUUUUGAACUUUCAAAUCAUAUUUUAUGUUUUCCUCGAAUCUAAUGUAGUG
rnacentral:lncRNA from 1 species